rnacentral:lncRNA from 1 species
AAGAGUCUAAAAUUGAACAUUAUUUGAUUUCAUCAAAAAUUGAAUUCUUGGGGUUCUAUGAUAUGCUGAAUCUAACCAUGUAUUUAGAUUUUGGAUAUUGGACCAUAAUAGGUAAAUGUCCAAUAUAAAAUUUUUAAGUUUUUAAGUUUAAGUUCUUAGACCACAUUCAUUCUGUGUCAGAAACCUAUGUUGUGUCAACUAUUUAAUCACAAUCCAAAUUCAGAGCUGUAUCAAGCUAAA